GUGGGGAAUUUUGGACAAUGGGGGCAACCCUGAUCCAGCCAUGCCGCGUGCGGGAAGAAGGCCUUCGGGUUGUAAACCGCUUUUGUCAGGGAAGAAAUCCUUUGGGUUAAUACCUCGGAGGGAUGACGGUACCUGAAGAAUAAGCACCGGCUAACUACGUGCCAGCAGCCGCGGUAAUACGUAGGGUGCGAGCGUUAAUCGGAAUUACUGGGCGUAAAGCGUGCGCAGGCGGUUUUGUAAGAUCGAUGUGAAAUCUCCGGGCUCAACCUGGGAACUGCAUUGGUGACUGCACGGCUGGAGUGCGGCAGAGUGGGAUGGAAUUCCGCGUGUAGCAGUGAAAUGCGUAGAUAUGCGGAGGAACACCGAUGGCGAAGGCAAUCCCCUGGGCCUGCACUGACGCUCAUGCACGAAAGCGUGGGGAGCAAACAGGAUUAGAAACCCUGGUAGUCC
rnacentral:rRNA from 1 species